UGACAUCUCUCAGACACUGAGCCACCAGCCAGAAACCAAAAUUUUGAAAUCUUCACUACAGCUCCUGCUUCCUGCCCUGCUUGAGUUCCAGUCCUGACGUCUUUUGGUGAUGAAUAGCAAUUUGGAAAUAAGCUCCGGAAUGAAGCAGAAAAUUAAGAGGUUGGAGCAUGUUGUCCUCUGAGAGACUCCACCCAGCAGCUGAAUCAGAAAGUGCAGUCACCCAUGGCUAAACAGUGAAUGGAACUUGGGGACUCUUUUGGAAGAAUAGGAGAAAGGACUGUGGGUCCUGAAGGAGUUAGGCACUCUACAGCAAGUCUAACAUUAUCAACUAACCUGGACUCUUGGGACUUUGAGAAUCUGAACCACCAACCAAAAAACUCACAUGGGCUGGACCUAGGCCUCACUGCUCAUAUGUUAUACUUGCUUUUAAAUGUGAUCGCCUACUUUGGAAAAAUAAUUAUGUCCUCCAGUGUGGGAUGACCUUCAGGGUGGGAUGAGUAAGCCUCCUUCUAAGUGGAAAUUUCAUUACAUUUACUGUCUCAAUGUAUUAUAUCUAUGGAGGGUUUUUUUGGGGGGGGUUGGAUUAGUUACAUAGAUGUACAUUUUUUAUUGCUAUACUAUUAUGAUUCUUUACAAAUAUUUCAUUUGAAACGUUGCUGAAACAUUUCCUACUAAAGUUGGUGUUAUCUCUGUGACAUCA
rnacentral:lncRNA from 1 species